UAGGGAAUCUUCGGCAAUGGACGGAAGUCUGACCGAGCAACGCCGCGUGAGUGAAGAAGGUUUUCGGAUCGUAAAGCUCUGUUGUAAGAGAAGAACGAGUGUGAGAGUGGAAAGUUCACACUGUGACGGUAUCUUACCAGAAAGGGACGGCUAACUACGUGCCAGCAGCCGCGGUAAUACAUAGGUCCCGAGCGUUGUCCGGAUUUAUUGGGCGUAAAGCGAGCGCAGGCGGUUAGAUAAGUCUGAAGUUAAAGGCUGUGGCUUAACCAUAGUACGCUUUGGAAACUGUUUAACUUGAGUGCAAGAGGGGAGAGUGGAAUUCCAUGUGUAGCGGUGAAAUGCGUAGAUAUAUGGAGGAACACCGGUGGCGAAAGCGGCUCUCUGGCUUGUAACUGACGCUGAGGCUCGAAAGCGUGGGGAGCAAACAGGAUUAGAUACCCUGGUAGUCCACGCCGUAAACGAUGAGUGCUAGGUGUUAGACCCUUUCCGGGGUUUAGUGCCGCAGCUAACGCAUUAAGCACUCCGCCUGGGGAGUACNACCGCAAGGUUG
rnacentral:rRNA from 1 species